AUUGAACGCUGGCGGAAUGCUUUACACAUGCAAGUCGAACGGCAGCACGGACUUCGGUCUGGUGGCGAGUGGCGAACGGGUGAGUAAUGUAUCGGAACGUGCCCAGUCGUGGGGGAUAACGUAGUGAAAAUUACGCUAAUACCGCAUACGAUCUAUGGAUGAAAGCGGGGGAUCGCAAGGCCUCGCGCGAUUGGAGCGGCCGAUAUCAGAUUAGGUAGUUGGUGGGGUAGAGGCCCACCAAGCCAACGAUCUGUAGCUGGUCCGAGAGGACGACCAGCCACACUGGAACUGAGACACGGUCCAGACUCCUACGGGAGGCAGCAGUGGGGAAUUUUGGACAAUGGGCGAAAGCCUGAUCCAGCCAUUCCGCGUGCAGGAUGAAGGCCCUCGGGUUGUAAACUGCUUUUGUACAGAACGAAAAGGUUUCUACUAAUACUAGGAGCUCAUGACGGUACUGUAAGAAUAAGCACCGGCUAACUACGUGCCAGCAGCCGCCGUAA
rnacentral:rRNA from 1 species